UAAAACUAAUUGAUUCCACUUUGAUCAGCACCAAUGCCAGUUAAAUUCACUUCAAACAUUGCCUAGAGAAAUCAUAAGCUUCUUUAGACCACGAGAAAAUUGCAGUCCCACAAAUCUUAAAACCAAGAAGGAUCUGAUUUGAAUAUGUUUACCCAUAAAGGGAUCUUCAGACUGGGUUCAGGUCGCAUGUUUCGCAACCUGC
rnacentral:lncRNA from 1 species